rnacentral:rRNA from 1 species
UGCCAGCCGCCGCGGUAAUACGAAGGGUGCUAGCGUUGUUCGGAAUUACUGGGCGUAAAGAGCAUGUAGGCGGAUUGGACAGUUGGAGGUGAAAUCCCGGGGCUCAACCCGGGAACUGCAUUCGAAACUGGGAGGCUUGAGUUCGAGAGAGGGUGGUGGAAUUCCUGGUGUAGAGGUGAAAUUCGUUGAUAUCAGGAGGAACAUCGGCGGCGAAGGCGGCCACCUGGCUCGAUACUGACGCUCAUGUGCGAAAGCGUGGGGAGCAAACAGGAUUAGAUA